ACAGCUAGCUAUUGGACACUCUUUUUAAAUUUCCAGCAGCACAAUAUUGCUCCCUCAAGCCACAUUUCUAAACCAUUCCCUUUCCCUUCUCCAAUUCCCAGCCCAACAUCUCUGAUCCGGUCCACUCCUUCUCCCCUUCCCAAAAGAAAACCCAGCAGCGUUCUUUUCCCAUUAUCACGAUAACAGCGUGCAACAACAACACUCAGCAACUUGAAAUUCCCAGUGAACAAAACCCAUAAGCAGUAGCACGUGAUAUGUCGUCCUCCCUCGUCCCUAUCUUUGUAUGGCUGCAGUAGCAGAAAGCACUAGCAAGGCACGUGUUUGCGUCCUUGCAGUCUCCAGAUGGAACCAAGUCGCAACAAGGACGUUUGGGAUCGAUCCCAAGCGUCCAUUCCCCUUUCUUCUUCUAGUUCGAGUCGAAUUUUCAUAAAAAAGUUGCUGAUCAAAUAAAGAAAAAAGGAUUUUUGAAUUCGAAAUGGAAAUGAGCCCAAUCUUAUCCGUUUUCACUCUCCCCCAACCAAAAUUGAACCCUAGUUUUCCCUAUGUAUACUUUUAGAUUCACUGUUAAGGGGGAUUUUUUUUGACGAAAGUUGGGAUCUUUUUCGAUUGGAUUCUUUCUUUUGGUUGGAGAUUUCUGGAAAAAUUAGAGAGAUUUUUAUAGUUGAAGAAAAAAAAUUAGACGAAAGUUAGAGAGAAUUUGAACUAAGCCAGAGAGGACAGUUCAAGUAGUUAGUCACAAAAAUACACAUAAAACACAUUCGAGAAAGGGUAAACUAGGACUUUUCGCUUGCUAUUCCAUUCGUGAUUGUGUGGUGGAACUCGGCGUCAUUCCCCUGCUCGUUCUUGUCUUGGUCGCUGCUCCUCAAAAGGGACAUGGAGGAACAAUUCCUUUUACUCGAGUCAAGAUUACAAAACUGAUGAACAAGUCCCGAAAGGAAGGAAACCAAAAUGGAAGAAGUUGAAGAGAGUGGGCCAUACGGGCCCAAUUUUUUUUUCUUAAAAUUUUGUAUUUUGUUAUGUUGGGCCUAUAAGACCCCUUAUUUCGUUUUAUCAUUAUUAUAUUGUUAGAUUCCUAGCACAGGUAAAAAAUUAGGCCUAAGCCCAAAGCAAAAUGAAAUGAGUCAAAAUACCGAUCCAGGCGGACAGAAACCGGAUUCGGACUCAA